GACGAACGCUGGCGGCGUGCCUAAUACAUGCAAGUCGAACGAGAGCGACCGGUGCUUGCACUGGUCAAUCUAGUGGCGAACGGGUGAGUAACACGUGGGUAACCUGCCCAUCAGAGGGGGAUAACAUCCGGAAACGGAUGCUAAAACCGCAUAGGUCUUCGAGCCGCAUGGCUUGAAGAGGAAAAGAGGCGCAAGCUUCUGCUGAUGGAUGGACCCGCGGUGCAUUAGCUAGUUGGUGAGGUAACGGCUCACCAAGGCCGUGAUGCAUAGCCGACCUGAGAGGGUGAUCGGCCACAUUGGGAAUGAGACACGGCCCAAACUCCUACGGGAGGCAGCAGUAGGGAAUCUUCCGCAAUGGACGCAAGUCUGACGGAGCAACGCCGCGUGAGUGAAGAAGGUGUUCGGAUCGUAAAACUCUGUUGUUAGAGAAGAACAAGUGCUAGAGUAACUGUUAGCGCCUUGACGGUAUCUAACCAGAAAGCCACGGCUAACUACGUG
rnacentral:rRNA from 1 species